rnacentral:rRNA from 1 species
UACGUAGGUGGCAAGCGUUGUUCGGAAUUACUGGGCGUAAAGCGCGUGUAGGCGGCUCUUCAAGUCAGGCGUGAAAGCCCCGAGCUUAACUCGGGAACUGCGCUUGAUACUGUCGAGCUAGAGUGUGGAAGGGGCGAUUGGAAUUCCGUGUGUAGCGGUGAAAUGCGUAGAGAUGCGGAGGAACACCGAUGGCGAAGGCAGCCCCCUGGGCUAAGACUGACGCUGAGGCACGAAAGCGUGGGGAGCAAACAGG